rnacentral:lncRNA from 1 species
GAAAUCUCUCCUAAAAAUUAUUCAUCCAAACACACCUACAACUCAAACCCAUAAAAGUUUAAAGUAAAAGUCAAAUUGUUGGAAAAUGUAAAAAAAAAAGAUCAAAAGAAAGAAAGAAAUACUAUAGUUUCUCUCUCUCUCUUCUCUUUAUUAUCACGCCUCUCUAAUCUCUCCCCAUAUUUUAUCUAUAUCUUUUGUUCAAUCU